CGGCGCNGCUUACACUGCAAGUCGAGCGAGAGAGUAGCUGCUACUGAUNUAGCGGCGGACGGGUGAGUAAUGCUUAGGAAUCUGCCUAUUAGUGGGGACAACAUCUCGAAAGGGAUGCUAAUACCGCUACGUCCUACGGGAGAAAGCAGGGGAUCUUCGGACCUGCGCUAUAGAUGAGCCUAAGUCGGAUAGCUAGUUGGUGGGGUAAAGGCCUACCAAGGCGACGAUCUGUAGCGGGUCUGAGAGGAUGAUCCGCCACACUGGGACUGAGACACGGCCCAGACUCCUACGGGAGGCAGCAGUGGGGAAUAUUGGACAAUGGGGGGAACCCUGAUCCAGCCAUGCCGCGUGUGUGAAGAAGGCCUUAUGGUUGUAAAGCACUUUAAGCGAGGAGGAGGCUACUUUAGUUAAUACCUAGAGAUAGUGGACGUUACUCGCAGAAUAAGCACCGGCUAACUCUGUGCCAGCAGCCGCGGUAAUACAGAGGGUGCAAGCGUUAAUCGGAUUUACUGGGCGUAAAGCGCGCGUAGGCGGCUAAUUAAGUCAAAUGUGAAAUCCCCGAGCUUAACUUGGGAAUUGCAUUCGAUACUGGUUAGCUAGAGUGUGGGAGAGGAUGGUAGAAUUCCAGGUGUAGCGGUGAAAUGCGUAGAGAUCUGGAGGAAUACCGAUGGCGAAGGCAGCCAUCUGGCCUAACACUGACGCUGAGGUGCGAAAGCAUGGGGAGCAAACAGGAUUAGAUACCCUGGUAGUCCAUGCCGUAAACGAUGUCUACUAGCCGUUGGGGCCUUUGAGGCUUUAGUGGCGCAGCUAACGCGAUAAGUAGACCGCCUGGGGAGUACGGUCGCAAGACUAAAACUCAAAUGAAUUGACGGGGGCCCGCACAAGCGGUGGAGCAUGUGGUUUAAUUCGAUGCAACGCGAAGAACCUUACCUGGCCUUGACAUAGUAAGAACUUUCCAGAGAUGGAUUGGUGCCUUCGGGAACUUACAUA
rnacentral:rRNA from 1 species